rnacentral:rRNA from 1 species
AUUGAACGCUGGCGGCAGGCCUAACACAUGCAAUUCUACCGAGUGGCUGACGGGUGAGUAAUGUCUGGGAAACUGCCUGAUGGAGGGGGAUAACUACUGGAAACGGUAGCUAAUACCGCAUACCAUCGGAUGUGCCCAGAUGGGAUUAGCUAGUAGGUGGGGUAAAGGCUCACCUAGGCGACGAUCCCUAGCUGGUCUGAGAGGAUGCACAGCCACCCUGGAACUGAGACACGGUCCAGACUCCUACGGGAGGCAGCAGUGGGGAAUAUGGCACAAUGGGCGCAAGCCUGAGGCAGCCAUGCCGGGUGUAUGAAGAAGGCCUUCGGGUUGUAAAGUACUGUCAGCGGGGAGGCGUUACCCGCAGAAGAAGCACCGGCUAAAUCCGUGCCAGCAGCCGCGGUAAUUC